CAUAGCCUUACAUGGGUGGCAGUUAAUUGUCAAUGCGCUCUAAUGGUAAGUGUAUGGUCAAAAAUCACAGCCACACGUUUUUUUUCUACCAUUUAAUAUGAAUGGAAAAUUGGGACGUGCGUAUCCGCCAAUGGCAUGGUUGUGCAUGGCCAGCAACAAUGCCAUCUACCCCUAAAAAAUACCACAUACCCUCCCAAAAAUAUGCCACAAACCAAAAUCCAUUUUGCCACAUACCUAAACCCUACAGCGCAUUGACAUUUAACUGGCACCAGAGUCAGGCUACGCCACUGACGACUGUGCACGUCUAAAUUUUCCAUUCAUUUUGAAUGGCAGAAAAACGUGAUUGUGAUUUUUGAAUAUACUCUUUACAUUACAGCGCAUCCAUUUUGCCACAUACCAACAAAAAAAUGCUCUCUCUCUAAAUCCGUCUGAAAGUAUUGACUCUUCCUUCGUAUCAUGACGACAUGUGACCACCAAGGGUCGCUGUUCUACAAGGGUCGCGCAGGAAAAUGUCCGUCUGGUAAAUACUUCCGGCAGGAAACCACAGAAGAAGACUGCACAAAUGGCAACAAUCGAAGAAAAUGGACCGUCGCUUCGUGAGCAGGGUGACAUGUCGUCUUUAGCGAGGCAGAAGCUUCAGAGCCUCCUGAACAAGAACAUGAGGAUCCGCAUGACCGACGGCAGAACCUUGGUGGGUCUUUUCCUCUGCACGGACCGGGAUUGUAAUAUCAUCCUGGGCUCGGCUCAGGAGUUCCUCAAAUCCACAGACACUUUCUCCCAGGGUGAACCCCGAGUCCUGGGCCUGGCCAUGAUUCCGGGUCACCACGUGGUGUCCAUCGAGGCAGAGGCUGACAUUCUGGACGACACGCAAACUUUCAACAUCCACCACUAGCAUUUUUUCAUUAAUUUAUGUGAUGUUCUGACCGACACAAUAUCUGUCAUUUUUACUUGUACAUACAGUCAUGUGAAAAAAUGAGGACACCCCAUUCUCAUAUUAACGUCUGAUCUUGGUUUUUUUUUUUGUAUCUCUGGAAAAUAAACUGAUUUAAUUGCAGGUAAACAACAAAAAUGAACAUUGUUUUACUCAUUAAACCAAAUAUAUCAACAAAAAUGCAUAUUCUAACUGAGGAAAAGUUAGGACACCCUGCCACUUAAUAGCUACUGUUACCCUCUUUGGCUGAAAUAACUUAAGUGAGUGGACAGUGGAAUGGCUGAUUUUUUAUUCUUUUGAAAUCCCUUACCAGACUCAUAAGCAUCAACAUUCUUCUUUCUGAUGAUCUCACCAUGGUGUUUUCUCUCGCUUCAACAGUGACACUAUACUAAAUAUGAGGUAUAAAUAAGGCAAGCCUCCUUCAACCCAAUGGGUAAUGAUGUUCUAAUCAUGUGCACCUGAUGUGAUACACCUGUGUGUGAUUUUAGCCAUUUGAAGUGGGAUUGAAUGUGGGGGAGUACCUUAACUACUCGAGUACUCAUUACUACUUGAGUACUUAUUAUUUAAGUACUUGUUACUUAACCACUUAAGUACUCAUUAGUUUAGUACUUGAGUACCUUCCACUGAAGUACUAGAGUAUUCAAUACUACUCGAGUACUUGUUACUCAAAUACUCAUCACUUAAAUACUCGGGUACUCAUUACUUUAUUACUCAAGUACCCUCAACUUAAGAACUCGAAUACAUUACUUAAAUACUCAAGUACCUAUUGCUUUACUAAAAUUACUACUCGAGUACUCAAGUACUAGUAGGUUCCACUGAAAUACUUGUACUCAUUACUACUUGAGUACUUGAGUACUCGAUUACUUAACUACUUGAGUACUCAUUACUUAAAUACUCAGGUACUCAUUACUACUUGAGAAUUUGUUAAGUACUUGAGUACUUGUUACUUAACCACUUAAGUACUCAUUACUUCAGUGGAGUACCUUCCACUGAAGAACUAGAGUACUCAUUACUACUCAAGUACUUGUUACUCAAAUACUCAUCACUUACUCGAGUACUCAUUACUUUAUUACUCAAGUACCCUCAACUUAAGUACUCGAUUACUCAUUACUUACUCAAGUACUUAUUGCUUUACUAAAAUUACUAGAGUACUCAAGUACUAGUAGGUUCCACUGAAAUAAUCAAGUACUCAUUACUUUACUACUCGAGUACUUGCUGAGUACUCGAUUACUUGUUAACUACUCGAGUACUCAUUACUUAAAUACUCAGGUACUCAAUACUUUACUACUCGGGUACCUUCCACUGAAGUACGCGAGUACUCAUUACUUGAGUAGUCAUACUCAAGUACUCAUUACUUACUCGAGUACUCGUUACUUUACUACUCAAGUGCCCUCCACUUAAGUACUCAAGUACUCCUUACUUAAAUACUCAAGUACCUAUUGCUUUACUAAAAUUACUACUCGAGUACUCAAGUACUAGUAGCUUCCACUGAAGUACUCAAGUACUCAUUACUACUCAAGUACUUGUUAUUUAAGUACUCGAUUACAUGUUAUUUAACUACUAAAGUACUCAUUACUUUACUACUCAGGUACCUUCCACUGAAAUACGCGAGUACUCAUUACUACUCGAGUACUUAUACUCACGUACUCAUUACUUACUCGAGUACUCGUUACUUUCCUACUCGAGUACCCUCGACUUAAGCACUCGAGUCCUCAUUACUUAAAUACUCAAAUAACUAUUGCUUUACUAAAACUACUCAAGUACUCAAGUACUAGUAGCUUCCACUGAAGUACUCAAGUACUCAUUACUACUCAAGUACUUGUUAUAUAAGUACUCGAUUACUUGUUACUUAACUACUCGAGUACUCAUUACUCAAAUACUCCUGAUGUGAUACCCCGUGAGUGACUUUAGCCAUUUUAAGUGGGAUUGAAUGUGGGGGUGUCCCAAUUUAUCCCUCAACAGAAAUUGUAAUUAUUUAAAAUGACGUUUUACAGAGUUUUUUUCAGUUUUAAUUGUUAAGUUCUAUUACUUGAAUCUCUCAAGAUUGUCAAAUUGAUAUUAAAUAUCCAUAUGACCAAAUAUGUUCGAAAACACAUAGGGUGUCCUAAUUUUUUCACAUGACUGUACAAACCCUGGCGAAAAUGCUGGACUCCAUCAUGUAAAUGUAUCAGUUUUGUGACAGAUCAUUCAAUCCAACUCUAUGGAAUUUGUGUCUGGGAUUCUUUUAAUGCAGUCCAAACCCUGCAUUGAAUUGGCAACAAUGCAAGAGCACAAAAGCUCAAUAAAUAACUCUGUCUUAGUUAAAUAAAAGUGCAGAUUUUGAAAUACUGACGUCUCCGCAUUCAACGUUGGCGUGUUGUCAGCCUAGAAGAUGGCGAAAAUGUUCUUUUUUUUUUUUUUUUUUUUUUAAAUCGCACAUUGUAACAAAAUAAAACUUAAAUAAA